GCGCUGGCGAACGAAGGGCGGAGUAGGCGAUUUGCCCUCCGAAGGCAGAGGUCACAAGUUCGAAUCUUGUCGGGUGCGCCA
rnacentral:tRNA from 1 species